rnacentral:lncRNA from 1 species
CGUAGACCCAAGUCAACAGUCAAGUCAAUGGCAAGUUGCAUUGGCCAAGCAAUUAGGAGGCGGACUUUCUCUUCCAAAUUAUGGUACAUGAAAUCUCGAGAAAAAAUGUCUUUUUAGGUGAAAAAAUCUUUCUACCCUAAAUUAUUGAUAAGUUCUCUGUGGAAAUAAAAAAUAAAAAAAUAGACCCCUUUACCACGUCAGCAGUUUGUUUUUUCUCUGUAAAUCUGAAGCAGAUAGUUUGACUGGUCCAUAUGGCCAUAAUUUUCUGCUUCCUCCUCAUCUGUGGAUGAAAAAUGUAGUAUAAAGUGCAAUAAUCAGGAAAGUAAUGAUGAACAUAUACAAAAUUCAGCAAAAAGAAACGAAGAAAUUGUAUUUCAAAGUUUAUACUUUAUAGGAAAACUCUAAGGGGUCGUUUGGUCAUGGCAUGCUCUAACCUUGUCAUCAGUAGUAAGGCUUGUGAUUUAGGUCCCCAAAUUUGGAGGACUCCAUUUUCAAAAAAUAAUAGGCUUAUAGAUAUGUAAAAAUAAUAUUUGGUACUUUUAAAACAAAAGUACUAAAGUUUUUCAUAUAAAAGGAAAAAAAAUAUUAUAGAUAUAUAAAUAAAGUAACAAUUUAACUUACUUAAAAUGGGUAGAUGAAUAGUUUUUUCAACGUUUCCAUUGGAAUUGAUUUGACAAUUCAUUUUUACUCCUUCAUUAGAUAACGCGUGAAAGUUUGUUCAAAUCAAUCAUUCUUUUCCCCAAUCUAUUCGCUCCCAUUUGGCCAUAGAUUUUGGCUUUAUUUUUUCAAAAAAAAAUUGAAAACAUUGUUUGUUUAUGAAAUAUGAUCAUGUUUUGGGGAAAAAAAUUCAAAAUUUUUCAAGUUUGCAGUUUUUGAGUGAAAUUAUUUUUCCACUCACAAAAUAUCAACAUUUCUUCAAAUAAAAUGCAUGUCCAAACAUAACUUCAACUUCCAAAAAUAUUUUUCAAUACAACUUCAAAAAUUCUUUUUUCAAAUUUCAAUCAAAUCUAUGUCAAAACGCUAGCUUCAUAUUUCAGAAAUUCCUACAUAUAUAUUUUCUGUCUUUUUCUUUGAUAUUCCUACUCACAUUCUUUUUUUAAGAUUUCAUUAGUUCAAGUGUUCAACAAUACUUUUAAGCUAUUCUAUAAAAUCUUAUCUAAGAUCAAUAAUGUCUCAACAAAAAAAUUAACUGAGUUGGCUAUUUUAUCAUUUGAAAAUGAAUAAUUAGAGAAAAUCGAUUAUAAAAAAAUUAUUAACAACUUUGUAUCUCAAAAAGUUAGAAGAUUAGAAUUCAAAUAAAAAUAUAUAUUAUAACUUUUUAAAAAAAUAUUUAGGCUUCAUAUUAAAUUUAGGCCACAUGUGCUUGAGCCUCCCGUGCGUUUGGUUACCAGGAGGGAUAGACAAGGAUAUCCCAUAAGCCGGAUAUCCCAUAUAUUAUGGUGAAAUUAAAAAAUAGCUAGAUCUAUAAGUGGUAAUUGAAAAAUAGCCACAGUUUAAAAAAUAAUCAAAAUUUAGUCACUUUUCAUGCAAAGAUAAAUUUGAACGAAAACACUGUUCAAAAUUUGAAAAAUAUUCCAGCAUAAUAUACUAGAGUUCCAGUGUAAUAUACUGGACUUCCAGUAUAAUAUACUAGAGUUCUAGCAUAAUAUACUGGAAUUCCAGCAUAAUAUACUGGACUUCCAGUAUAAUAUACUGGUCCAGCAUAAUAUGCUGGAAGUUCAUACAUAGGUGCUCCAAUCUCCAGUAUAUUAUACUGGAACUUUCCGUGUGUUGGAGUUCCAGCAUAAUAUGCUGGAAGUUCAUACAUAGGUGCAACAAUCUCUAGUAUAUUAUGCUGGAAUUUUUAGUGUUGCAGCAAAAUAGUGGCUAUUUUCAAUGACUUUGCAAACGCUGGUUAUUUUUCAAUUACCAGUCCAAAAACUGACUACCCCGUACUAUUUUCAUCAUAGAUUAGCUAUCAUAUCUUUUACAUGGGAUAGCUAAUUCAAUCAUUUUGGUAUUAAAUUUAUCCCACCAGUAAAUAAUAUCCACCAAACAGGAAAUAAAUAUAAUCUCAUAUCCUUUCAGGAGAUUAGUAUCCUUAUCCUUAAUCUACCUACCCGUCGUUUUGACCGGCAUGUUAGCUUACCCAAAAGGAAAAGAAGUAAAUAUAUAGAGCGAGAAUUUGACUAAUAUAUUUUGUAGUUGAUGGGGUUUGAACCAUCCAACUUAAAUAUAGAAGACCGAAAAAUUUCACUCAUCCUCAAUUCUUUACUUUUUGGGUACUUACUGUACAUUUUUUCUUGUUUUAAUUACUUCCCUUUCUCUCAGCGUUGCUCUACUCAACUCUGCUAAACAGAGCGGCAAUCAUAAUUCAUAUACCAAUUUUUUGGACAUAAUAGAAUGCCUGCCUUUAUCUAAAACAAUUCAAACAGUUGGGAAAGAAGCAAUCUGGGCAAUGCCACAAUGGCCACCNNNNN